AAAUGGAACAAAAAUCGAACUUUUAUUCACCGUCCUUUGGGUUGCAGCAAAAGUGAUACAUAUGAACGGUUUGUUUUGUGAUACAGAGUAUGCGGGAUAUUGAGGACGUAUAUUACAAACCUUGGACUUCUCAGUACAUUUACAAAGGAGUCAAUCAAUCCAUGAUAUUACGCAGCAUUAGUUACUGAAAAGGAGUUUGGAACACCCUUGUGACGAAUUUAAAUAUUUUUCUCAACAUUGAAGCAACAAUAGUCUUGGAUAACUUGUUUUAGGGAAAGAAAACUGGCCUGAGUUUGUUUUUUGUCUGGAAAUGUGGAUCUUUUCCUUAGGAAAAAAUUCCACUACAGUCUAGAAGUUUUGGUAGAAAAGCUUUCCGUUUUGGAUUUCUUGCAAUCAGAUUAUCUGCUGAAAAAACCAAUUAGACUUUAAAAAAUAUAUUUUCAUACAACGUUAUGUUUGUGAAAUUUAUUCAUCGUGGACAUGAGAGUGCAUCAGUGAUUUCUCUAUAUUGGAUACGCACGAAGUUUCUAGAUGCAGCGUUUUCUGUGAUUGGAAAAAUAUAUGACAAGAAAGAUGCUCCACUACAUACCAAAGUUUUGAAUGCUGAAGUAACUGUGCAAGGAUACCAUAGGAUCUGUCCCUGCGUGUUUAGUCUAAUAUACCACUAUUCAAAUCAUCCACACGUUCAAAAUGAAGGCAAGGGCAAUACCUGUGCCCUCGAAACCAUCUCAUCAAACCUUAUUCACAUCAAUUUCAACGUAGCUAUUUAUGUAAAAACUAUAUGUAUAUAGAACUGUAUUUAGCCUUCCGGUGCCUUUGGAUAUUGGUCUUGUCUCACAAGAGCUGCGUAUAUCUUUUUAGAACAAAAUACAUGGGGUAUUUUAUUUUUCUCACAAAAAACUGUAAGGAACCUACUAAAGGAAUGUAGCCUUAGCCUCCAAGAAGAAAAGUUUUACUCUGGAGCUGAGCUAGUAUUCUUUUCUUAGUAGAACUGAAUAAAGCCCUCUAGAGAAAUAUUACUCCACAAUUUUUCAAAUGAUAAUUGUACUAAGCCGUCUAGAGGAAUAUAACAGCAUAGUUCACAUUUUGUAUUACAAGAACUCUACGUAGAAUUCAAAGGAAUAUUACUCAUUUGUUCAUAUUUCGUCUAAUUAGGAAUGUACAAAGUCUCCUAGUGGUGUCGUAUUAGAAAUGUAUGUAAAUUUCGAGAGGAACACACCUUCCUAGUUCUGAUUUUGUCUGAUAAGAAAUGAACAUAGCUUCCUAGAGGAAUAUAACUCCGUUGUUCAGAUUUUGCCCUAUCAGAAAUGUAUAUAGCAUCAUGGAGGAAUAUUCCCCCGUAGUUCAGAUUUUGUCCUAAUGGCUAUUAGAAAUGCACAUAGACCUCUAGAGGAAUAUUCCUCCGUAGUUCAUAUUUUGUCUUAAUAGAGAUUAACAUAGCCUCCUAGAGGAAUAUUACUCUGUAAUUCAGAUAUUGUCUUUUUAGAGAAUGAAGUACAUGUACAUAUAGUCUCAUAAAGGAAUAAUACUCCGUAGUUCAGAUUUUCUUAUUUAGAACUGUACAAACUCCUAAGAUAGUUCAAUUUUUCCUUCAUAGAACUGUGCAUACAUAACCUUCUGGAGGAAUAUUACUAUGUAGAAAAGACUUUGUUUACCUCCACUUAUGCUGAGUUUUCACCUCGCAUUCUAGAUGUCUUUUUACAACUACACAAAUUCUAUCAGAUAAAUUAUUUACUCUGUAGUUAAUUUUUGUUUUGUAGAGGAUGUAAAUAAGAUUUUGUUUUAUUUGUGUCAUAAUAACCUUUUUGAGGAACCCCGUAUAUAUUUUGUUUUAUUAGAAUUGCAGUCUUUAAGAGAAAUAUUACUUUUUGGAUGAAAUUUUGUCUUUUUAGAACUCCUCAGUCUUUCAAUUGAAUAUUAUUACGUAGUUUAUUUUUUUGUUUAAUCAGAAUUGCAAUCCUCCAGAAAAAUAUUACUAGUAUUUCAAAGAUAUGUUUUUACCUCUUAGAGUUGUAAGUAUCUAGAGGAUUAUUACUCCGUCGAUAAACUUUCGUCGUAGUACAUGUAUAACAUUACAUAGAGGAAUAUUACUCUGUGGCUCAGAAUAAGACUUAAUAGAAAUGUGUAAUAUAAGCCUUCUGGGGGAAUAUUACUCCAUAGAUAAGUGUUCGUCGUUGCAGAUCUGUAAAUAGAAAACUUUUACUCCGUAGUUCAUAUUUUGUCUUCAUAGACUUUACUCCGUAGUUAGACUUUGGCUCAAUAGAGCUGUGCAUACAUAGAUAUAGCCUUCUGGAGGAAUAUUACUCCGUAGUUAAGUUUUCGUCGACAUAGAGAAAUACUACUCCGUAAUACAGAUAUUGCUUCAAUAGAACUUUGCA